CACAAUUAUUUAUUGGGUUAAAAUGUUUAAAAAUGCAUUACACUCAUUUGACCGAAGCUUUAGUAUGAAACCACAAGAAAAACAGUCCAACCCAUAGUCAUAUUCACGUCUUCAUACGUUGAACCCACCCUGUAGGGAGCUCUUCAGCAGGCUAGGGAGGCUCUGCCUGGUCCUGGUCGUACAGCGGAGGAGCUAGGGAGGCUUCUGCCUGGUCCUGGUCGUACAGCGGAGGAGCUAGGGAGGCUUCUUCCUGGUCCUGGUUGUACAGCGGAGGGUAAGGAGGAAGAGGAGGUGCUAGGGAGGCUUCUGCUUGGUCGUACAGCGGAGGAGCUAGGGAGGCUUCUGCCUGGUCCUGGUCGUACAGCGGAGGAGCUAGGGAGGCUUCUGCAUGGUCCUGGUUGUACAGCGGAGGAGCUAGGGAGGCUUCUGCCUGGUCCUGGUCGUACAGCGGAGGAGCUAGGGAGGCUUCUGACUGGUCCUGGUCGUACAGCGGAGGAGGGGGAGCUAGGGAGGCUUCUGACUGGUCCUGGUCGUACAGCGGAGGAGCUAGGGAGGCUUCUGCCUGGUACUGGUCAUACAGCGGAGGGUAAGGAGGAAGAGGAGGAGCUAGGGAGGCUUCUGCCUGGUCCUGGUCGUACAGCAGAGGAGGAGGAGCUAGGGAGGCUUCUAACUGGUCCUGGUCGUACAGCGGAGGAGGAGGAGCUAGGGAGGCUUCUAACUGGUCCUGGUCAUACAGCGGAGGGUAAGGAGGAGGAGUGUUCUUGGCCAGUUCUGUCUGUUCUGUGUCAGUCUCAUUGGUCCAGUGGUAGGACCGACAGAUUCCACAGACACUUUUCUGUAGAAUCUGUGUAUCAGUGUUUCAGAACCUGAUAGGGGGAUUAUUCCGGUUCCCACGGACCGACUGGCUGGUUCUGGAUCAGGAAGCCUGAAACUGAAGGAAAGAGAAGCACUGGUCCUUUUCCGACACGUCUCCAUUUCAUCCGUUGUCCAUUAGAGAACUGUGGUCUUUCAUUGGAGCGAUGUGGAGAACGAGGCUUGGCAGAGCUUCACAUUGGGGUAGGGUUGAUAUCGGGUGGGAAACAUAUUACAUCAGGUAGUAUAGGGGAGGGUUGGAUUACACAGCAGGCGAAAGGCUUAGAACGCCAGGUCCAGAUUUUCCCAGAGAAAUGAAACAGUGAAUAUUUAAAAAUAUGGAUAUUUGAUGGAUUGUGAAGAAGUGGCUUUGUGAGGUAUCAUGACAGAAAAAGAGAGGUUGUGUGUGUUGCCUGAGUGAAAGAAUUGUACAUGUGGUAAGGGGGGAGGGGGGGGGUUCUGUAAAUAAAUUUUAAAAAGACUGCCGAUUCAGAAGAGACUGAUGUUUCAGCAAUACUGGGGAAUCGACAUGGUUAGGAGAGGAAAUGACAGAAACCUGAGACCUAGAGAGAGAGGGAAGGAGAAGGUUAGAGGGAGAGAGAGAGGGAAGGUUAGAGGGAGAGAGAGGGAAGGAGAAGGUUAGAGGGAGAGAGAGAGGGAAGGAGAAGGUUAGAGGGAGAUCGAGAGGGAAGGAGAAGGUUAGAGGGAGAGAGAGAGGGAAGGAGAAGGUUAGAGGGAGAGAGAGAGGGAAGGAGAAGGUUAGAGGGAGAGAGAGAGGGAAGGAGAAGGUUAGAGGGAGAGAGAGAGGGAAGGUUAGAGGGAGAGAGAGAGGGAAGGAGAAGGUUAGAGGGAGAGAGAGGGAAGGAGAAGGUUAGAGGGAGAGAGAGAGGGAAGGAGAAGGUUAGAGGGAGAUCGAGAGGGAAGGAGAAGGUUAGAGGGAGAUCGAGAGGGAAGGAGAAGGUUAGAGGGAAAGAGAGAGGGAAGGUUAGAGGGAGAGAGAGAGGGAAGGUUAGAGGGAGAGAGAGAGGGAAGGAGAAGGUUAGAGGGAGAGAGAGGGAAGGUUAGAGGGAGAGAGAGGGGGAAGGAGAAGGUUAGAGGGAGAGAGAUGGGGAAGGAGAAGGUUAGAGGGAGAUCGAGAGGGAAGGAGAAGGUUAGAGGGAGAUCGAGAGGGAAGGAGAAGGUUAGAGGGAAAGAGAGAGGGAAGGUUAGAGGGAGAGAGAGAGGGAAGGUUAGAGGGAGAGAGAGAGGGAAGGAGAAGGUUAGAGGGAGAGAGAGGGAAGGAGAAAGUUAGAGGGAGAGAGAGGGAAGGAGAAGGUUAGAGGGAGAGAGAGGGAAGGAGAAGGUUAGAGGGAGAGAGAGAGGGAAGGAGAAGGUUAGAGGGAGAGAGAGAGGGAAGGUUAGAGGGAGAGAGAGAGGGAAGGUUAGAGGGAGAGAGAGAGGGAAGGUUAGAGGGAGAGAGAGGGAAGGAGAAGGUUAGAGGGAGAGAGAGGGAAAGAGAAGGUUAGAGGGAGAGAGAGAGGGAAGGAGAAGGUUAGAGGGAGAGAGAGAGGGAAGGAGAAGUUUAGAGGGAGAGGGAGAGAGAGAGGGAAGGUUAGAGGGAGAGAGAGAGGGAAGGUUAGAGGGAGAGAGAGAGGGAAGGAGAAGGUUAGAGGGAGAGAGAGAGGGAAGGAGAAGGUUAGAGGGAGAUCGAGAGGGAAGGAGAAGUUUAGAGGGAGAGAGAGAGGGAAGAAGGUUAGAGGGAGACAGAGAGGGAAGAAGGUUAGAGGGAGAGAGAGAGGGAAGGUUAGAAGGAGAGAGAGAGAAGGUUAGAGGGAGAGAGAGAGGGAAGGAGAAGGUUAGAGGGAGAGAGAGAGAGAGAGAAGGUUAGAGGGAGAGAGAGAGGGGGAAGGAGAAGGUUAGAGGGAGAGAGAGAGGGAAGGUUAGAGGGAGAGAGAGAUGGGAAGGAGUAGAUUAGAGAGAGAGAGAGAUGAAGGAUGUGAUGGAGUAGUAUGGACUGGUAAGUAGCAGUCUAUUGUGAGGACUGAGGGUUGCCGUGAGGUGAACAGGAAGAAGGUGGUGGAUGUGGUACUGGCAGGGUUAGCUCUUCGGUCUGGCACGGUCACGACUGAGGUAAAUGCUGGUAGUCCGCCUCUGUUCUUCACGUUGGGUGGGUGUCACCAGAGAGGCCGACCGGCUGAGAAGACCUUUCUGGAAAUCUAGGCGUACAUGGUCAACUGGAGCCACUGGACAUAGAGGAGAGACAGAGGGGAG
rnacentral:lncRNA from 1 species